CAGCCGCCACGGGAAUACGUAGGUGGCAAGCGUUGUCCGGAAUUAUUGGGCGUAAAGCGCGCGCAGGCGGCUUCCCAAGUCCCUCUUAAAAGUGCGGGGCUCAACCCCGUGAUGGGAUGGAAACUGCCAAUCUAGAGUAUCGGAGAGGAAAGUGGAAUUCCUAGUGUAGUGGUGAAAUGCGUAGAUAUUAGGAAGAACACCAGUGGCGAAGGCGACUUUCUGGACGAAAACUGACGCUGAGGCGCGAAAGCCAGGGGAGCGAACGGGAUUAGAUACCCGUGUAGUCCCUGUCUCUUAUACC
rnacentral:rRNA from 1 species